rnacentral:rRNA from 1 species
CAUGCAAGUCGAACGAGACUCCGGGCUUCGGCCCGGAUGACAGUGGCGCAAGGGUGAGUAACACGUGAGUAAUCUGCCCCGAAGUCCGGGAUAGCCGAUGGAAACGUGGAUUAAUACCGGAUGUGGCUGUAUGAACUGCGGUUUUAACAGUUAAAGAUUCAUUGCUUCGGGAUGAGCUCGCGGUCCAUCAGCUUGUUGGUGAGGUAAUGGCUCACCAAGGCGACGACGGAUAGCUGGUCUGAGAGGAUGACCAGUCACACUGGGACUGAGACACUGCCCAGACUCCGACGGGAGGCUGCAGUCGAGAAUCUUCCGCAAUGGGCGCAAGCCUGACGGAGCAAUGCUGCGUGCCGGAUGAAGGCCUUCGGGUCGUAAACGGCUGUCACUCGGGACGAAUUUUGACGGUACCGAGAGAGGAAGCCACGGCUAACUACGUGCCAGCAGCCGCGGUAAUACGUAGGUGGCGAGCGUUAUUCGGAAUUAUUGGGCCUAGAGGGUUCGUAGGGGGUAAUGUAAGUCCGGUGUGAAAUCUCGAGGCUCAACCUCGAAACUGCAUUGGAAACUGCGUUACUUGAGUGUCAGAGAGGAAAGCGGAAUUCCUGGUGUAGCGGUGGAAUGCGUAGAUAUCAGGAAGAACACCGACGGCGAAGGCAGCUUUCUGGCUGACAACUGACCCUGAUGAACGAAAGCUAGGGUAGCGAACAGGAUUAGAUACCCUGGUAGUCCUAGCUGUAAACGUUGUGCACUGGAUGUGGGCGGAUU